UACGGGGGGUGCAAGCGUUAAUCGGAAUUACUGGGCGUAAAGCGCACGCAGGCGGUUUGAUAAGUCAGAUGUGAAAUCCCGGGGCUUAACCUGGGAAAUGCAGCUGAUACUGUCAGGCUUGAGUCUGGUAGAGGUGGGUAGAAUUCCAGGUGUAGCGGUGAAAUGCGUAGAGAUUUGGAGGAAUACCGGUGGCGAAGGCGGCCCCCUGGACAAAGACUGACGCUCAGGUGCGAAAGCGUGGGGAGCAAACAGG
rnacentral:rRNA from 1 species